rnacentral:lncRNA from 1 species
CAAAGAGCCUUGAACAGGAGAUAAGGAAAAUGCUGCACAUCCUAGAGGUAUUAAGAUGAUGAUCUUCUUGCCAUCGUCGAUCCCCUAGUACAUAUAAAUGACACGUAAUGAUCUUUUCCCCCAAGAUUUUAGUAUUCGAGACUAGUUGGUAGCUCACUGCCUAGAUGUCUAUCAUGAGGCUGAUGUUGUGCUUUCUGCAAGAUCUGUAGAAAGGUGUUUGGCGUGGCUGGGCAAAUUGUGUAAUGACAAGCUUAUAAGCUGAGCAAGUUGAUCUUCGAUGAUGUCAUUUCAACAGUGUUGGAAGUUAGCUUCUCUAGCAUUGUGGUAGAAGUCACUGAGACUGUGAGACUUCUUUCCCCAACUAUCUUACUGAGAUGGAUAUUGAUUUGUGUUCAUAUUCUCCUAUUUGAUGCUAAAAUGUGGUCAAUCUAUAUUGGAAUUGAAUAUCUUAUUGGCUUUCUUGAAUGUACCUAUUGUAAUUUCAAGAUUUUGUUUUGUAGAUCACCAUUCAGUUACUGUCCUUGUCGGUCCAGUGGCUAUGGUUAGAGUUGCCUUUUUCACAUCUCAGUUAGCUUCAUUAAUGCAUAUUUCUGUUAGAAAUUCCCAUUCGAAACUAAAAUAGAAGUCCCAGCUCUUGCCUCAAGAUGGCAGACUGGAACUCAAUGGAGCUUCAGCAUAAUUUUGCAUUCAGCUGCCUUAAAAUAAUGUUAUAACUCAAGGAAAUCGAGUAUCUGGUCAGAAUCGUUGCAUGGAAAUACAAGGGUCAAGCUUGCAAACAGUAUGCAGCACUGGCUGCAACCUGAUGUAUAACCACUAGUAAGUGGGGCUGGGCUUGUGAAGAUGCUUAUACUGGGAAGUGGACUUGAGUCUUGAUGAAUAGCAAACGAAAUACCAGGCAAAAGGUUUUCUAUGGGAAGUGGGGGCCAUUGAUAGCAGGCCAUGGAGAAGUAAUGUUUGAUAUUAGUUUUUGUACAGCAGAUACUGAAUGGCAAUCUGGGUGUGGUAGUCUGGUGCAUUUAUUGAAGUCAGAUUGUUGGCCUUGCAGAUUAGCAAGCUGUCCAUAAUGUAUAUUGGGUGUAGUUGUCUGGUGCAUUUAUUGAAGUCAGAUUGUUGACUUUGCAGAUUAGCAAGCUGUCCAUAAUUUACAUCUGAAGUAAGUAAAAGAUGUAGGUACUCAUUUAAUAAAGUUAUAAAUCAGCUGAAUUUAGUAUCAUUUGACCAUAGACGUUGAUGAUUUAAUUGUCUUUGUAUUACCUGGAAAAAAUGGUUUAGUGCAUGAUUCCUAGACCAAGAGGUGGAGUAUGGCUUCCCUAAUUAAUAUCUGGUCUAAGGUCCCGAAUCUUAAUGAGAAGCAUAAUGUUCUGUAUGAAUCAAAAUAGGAAGAUAGUUUUGCCCUAUUUUGGCAGAGUUGUUCUCUCAAUAAGAUACCUGGUAGCUUCCGUCGGUGUCUGGUGUGGAAAAGACGGUUCCUGUAUUGAUUUCUUAAUUUUUAUGUACAACUCCUACCCUUAGUUUCAAAAUGUAUAUAAAACAUGUCAAGACUUGGAUUCUGGAUGGUCUGCCUUAUGAAUUAAGAACCAGACUCUAUUGUAAAGACUCCUUAUACAGGUCAUGUACCAAUUGUUAGGAAUAUAGUGGACAAGUCCAUUUGGCUUUUUUUUAAAAAAAAUAAAAAUCAGUAAAUAUUGUAACAAGGUAGUUGAGUUUAUUUGGAUCUAUCAAACUGAUUAUAGCUAGGCCUGUAUUUGGUGUGUAAGUGUUGAUUUGGGUGCAGAAAGGGUACCUCUGAAAUGAUACUACAUAUGCUACCCUUUGCAGUAGGGCUAAAAUGAAAAUAAUCUGGCAAUUGAAGCCUAUAAAACAAAUAUCUUCUUGGCCAUCACUACUGUACUUUGCAAAAUGUCUUUUUGGUGAACAAUAUACAAUGAUCAGAAGAUAAAUAAAGGUAGGGCCUGUAAACCAUGGCUGAAGAUUUGGCAUAACCAUACAAGAAGUUCUGCUUAAUAUCCUACAUUUGUUUCAAACAAUAAAGUCCUCCGUUUUCAAAUAGGUGGGAGGACGUCUUUCUCAAAAACAAAGAAGAAGAAAAGAAUAGAAAAACUUUGAACUAUUUUUCUAUGGCUUCUUACAGUCAAACAAUUGUAUGAAUAUUUGUGUAGAAUCAGAGAUGGUCAUUUUUGCUGCCUUGCUUCCUUUAUUUUCUGCUCAUACAUACUUCCAAUAAAAUUUCUCUAACAUGGGAAAUUCUAAUUAGAAGUGAUUUUCUGAUAUCCAUUGCAACCUCUCUAUCAGUUGUCAAGAUUUUUGUCAAGCAUAUCAUAAUUGCUACUUCAAGAUAGAUGUUUUCUGUCUCUGCCUCUUUUCAGGAACCAUGUUAGUGCUGGUAUAGACUGUACAGAUAUACAGACAGUUUACAUUACAAUUACAGUACUCAACAACCUACACUUAAUGGAACAGGCUGUGUCUUCCACAUAUAGUUGAGUGUCAUCUCCAAUCAACUUUGAGUCGCUAUUUGAUUAGCUGCCUCUGUCAAAUGCAACUCUAUUUGUAACCUCUGAUGGAGUGCUGUGUUUGUCCCCACUCCUUUCUUUUCAAUCUCCAACUCUUCUCUUAAUGGUAUGGUAGCUAGAAAUCUAUUUAUGAACUCCCUGCAGCACUCCUUCCCACUGCAGUGUAGCUCUUCUCCACCUUCAUUUCCACUGUCCUCUGGCAACCUAUACAUCUCCGUGGAGUCAUCAAACCGGAGUAUGUAGGCUUUAUAACAUCCUUCAAACAAUCUUUCCCCCAGUGUAUCAAUGACAUAAUAAGCAUUAGCUUCCACCUUAAGCAAAAAGAAGUGAUCGUUCCAGCUCACGAUAUAGACCUUAGGAUCACCUUCUCUGAUGUUGCUAGUAAUGUCUUGCCAUAUAUCAUCAAAGGACAUUGCCCCAUGUAAUGAUUCAAAACUCUCUGGUUGGAAGAACCCAACGAAAGAUUUGUCUGGCAGAACAGAUAUAGGCUUUAUAUUUGCUUCUAUUAUGGUGUCAAGGUCAAAGUGCUUGUUGGGGAAACGGCCUAUAUAGGACACAUUUUCACAUAACUUUCUCCACUCAGAAGAGCCUUCUCUGAUAAGCGUAUCAAACUCUGAUCUGGUUGGUGGGUUCAGUCCAUUGGAGUGGAGUGCAUUAGCAAUUACAGCAACGAGGGCAGUGCAAGCACUCUCGCCACCUGCGCUCUCAUCUCGCUGGUCAAUGGAAGCAAAGAAGACUUGAGUUUUGAGCUUUGUUUCCCUAUCUCUGCUGAUGAAUUCUUUGACUUUCCAGCUACCAACUAGAUCAUCAUCUUGAUCAGAUCCUGAGGAUUCUUUUUUGUGCUGAGAAGAAACAUGAAUAAUUCAGAUCAUUCCAUCCAUGUAGUCAUCGAGAUAUAUGGAAGGCUUAUGUUGUAGUGAUUACUUACCAUGCCACUUCUGGAAGGUAUGUUUUCAAGACUAGAAGAAUCCUGGGUCUCCCUGCUUUUGUUAGCAAUCUUGCUUCUCUUUCUCCAGGAAAGAAAUGAUUCUUUUGAAGUCAAUCCUGUCUCUGGACUUGAUCUCCCACUGCUGCUGCUGCUGUUACUGGCAGCAUGAUCCCUCUUGCUGUAAUCUGCCAAUUUAUCUUUUUCAUCUGCUAAUAGGAGCUGAUCUUCUGCAUUGAAGAUACAUGAAUCAUCAGUUCCAGCCUCGUCGCUUGUUUGCUUUUCUUGUUGGUUCUUCUUGCCUUUUGUGGGCUCAUCAAAGUUGAUGGUCACCUGCAUGACCCACACCAUCAACAGACUUUUUUAUUAUCAAACAGUUAAAUGGUUUUAUUAGAAACACUAAAUCGCAGUUUGGCUUUCAAUAUAGUACCUGUUGUUGGUUGAAAUGACAUUAUAAAUUUAUAAUGAUACUUCCAUUAUAUUUUCUCUUUCAAUGUUGUCAACCUCAUUUUCUAUUUAUAUUUUGCAUAACUCACAAUUCUUAAGAGCAGAAAAGGAUACUGAAAUUAACCCAUGGUAAUUCCUUCACAGAUGGGGAAAGAAGCGCUUGUCAAACAACUGGGACCAGCCUAGCAUCUUAAUGUAUCCAACUCUUACCACUUGUAAAAUGGUUUUAAUCUUUCACAAUCUUAUGCAGAGGUUGUUAGCAUGAGAAACCAAGAUGCUUCUUUUGCACUCAAAAGCAGGUCACAUAUCAUACCGUUUUCAUCAAUAUUUUGAACAUUGACAAAUUGUUAGGUACCAUAUUAUAUUGAUGACUAACCAUAUUGUCUUUCUUUUACAUAUUUCAUCAGCUUCUUUAGAUUUCUCUUAAUAGCUUCUGUUAUCC